AAAAUGGCAAGAGAGCUAGUGAAAUAUACAUGGAAACAGGAAAUUGGAGGAAGCUAUGUUAACUCUGGGAACCAAGAUUAUUUGGUUUUGAACCUGUGGCCGAACGGAAAAUUGCCUAGUAAUUGGGCUGUGUUGCUUUGAGGCCUGUAAAGCUGCUGGCACAAUGCCAUGGGCUGCAGUGGGCGAGAGCCCUCUUUGAGCUUCCCAUCGAGGAUGUUGUUCCGCACGUGAAAAAGUCUUUUGCGGGAGACAUGUCUUUCUAGUCUUAGGGUCAGGAAUAACUGGUUGUGUGUCCCUUGGGUCAUUUGACUGUCAUCUUAAGGACACAGCAAACUUUCUAACAGACCAGGUGUUCUUGAGAGGAGCCUAGAGCUGGAAACCCAGAAGUGCACUGGUCUCCCACGUCAGCAAUAAAAACAA